UACAGAGGGUGCUAGCGUUAAUCGGAAUUACUGGGCGUAAAGCGUGUGUAGGUGGUUAGAUAAGUUAGAUGUGAAAUCCCCGGGCUUAACCUGGGCAUUGCGUUUAAGACUGUUUAGCUUGAGUACUGUAGAGGAUAGUGGAAUUUCCAGUGUAGCGGUGAAAUGCGUAGAUAUUGGAAGGAACACCAGUGGCGAAGGCGGGCCCCUGGACGUCUACUGACGCUGAGACGCGAAAGCCAGGGGAGCGAACGGGG
rnacentral:rRNA from 1 species